rnacentral:rRNA from 1 species
GAUGAACGCUGGCGGCGUGCCUAAUACAUGCAAGUCGAGCGACCGGACGAGAAGCUUGCUCCUCUGAUGUUAGCGGCGGACGGGUGAGUAACACGUGGAUAACCUACCUAUAAGAGUGGGAUAACUUCGGGAAACGGGUGCUAAUACAGACUAAUAUUUUGAACCGCAUGGUUCAAAAGUGAAAGACGGUCUUGCUGUCACUUAUAGAUGGAUCCGCGCUGCAUUAGCUAGUUGGUAAGGUAACGGCUUACCAAGGCAACGAUGCAUAGCCGACCUGAGAGGGUGAUCGGCCACACUGGAACUGAGACACGGCCCAGACUCCUACGGGAGGCAGCAGUAGGGAAUCUUGCGCAAUGGGCGAAAGCCUGACCCAGCAACGCCGCGUGAGUGAUGAAGGCCUUCGGGUUGUAAAGCACUUUUGUCAGGAAAGAACACAUGUGCACUUAUACGGUCGCAGGAUGACGGUACCUGAACAAUAAGCCCCGGCUAACUACGUG